UUAGGAGUAGGGUUAAGGUUUUAGUUAGUGUUCUGUUUAGCUUUAUGGUUAGGGGUAGGUUAGUGUUAGGAUUAGGUUUAGGGUUCCGCUUAGGGUAAGAUUAGGGUAUGGCUUACUGUUAGUGUUAGGGUUAUUGUUAUGGUUAGGUUUAUGGUUCAUGUAGGGUAGGCUUGAGGUUAUAGUAUGGGUUUGGGUUAGGUAAGGGUUAGGGCUACGUUUAAAGUUAUAUUUUUC
rnacentral:lncRNA from 1 species